UGAGGUUGGGGGGUCACAGCCUCACGUGCCCUCACCCGUCCAGGCUGCCAGGCCUGCAGGGCACUCCCUAGGCUGAGUCAGGGUGACGGGAGAUACGCCUGAGGGCACCCUCCCCUCUCAUGUGCCUGUGCCCGCCUCCCUGAGACCCACCAGAAAUGCCCCCUUUACAUUCUCAAUCCCUGGGGCAGAACUGUCACGCAGAGAAACCCGCCUGACCAGCAUUUGGGUGAGAGAGACCUUCAGGACACUCGAACAGAGACCCCCGGGACCGAGGCUAUUAGGUGCUGCAGGAUCCCUGACGGUUUCUGGGUCAGGGUUAACAACCUGUGGCCAUACCAAGCCACCACCCUGAAGGCAGUCAAUGGUCAUGUGUGUGGAUCGGAUGGCUUCCUCACGAGUUUGCAAUUUGAGGAGGCAAUUGUUCAGAGGCUGGUGUAUGGAUGCCUAGUGAUCUCAGCAUAGCCCUGGAAUCCUUCAUGGUGUGCAGAACCUCAUUCGUCUUUGCUGCAAAUAAUUUCUCAUCAUCGAAGGGGAGAUCCUCCACGGUGUUCUGUAUCUCAGAUGGGAAAGACGAAGAGUUGAACCAUGAAGCCCAAUGCAUAACAACAGCUGUAGCGGUGGACCUGGCUGCGGUGUCCGCAGCAUCAAGGGCAGCCUGGAGUAACGUGCGGGAAAUUAUUUGUCCUUCAGAGACCACUGCCUUAAGUUGCGGUCUCUUUUCUUCUGGAAUAGUUAAUAAAUUCCAUUAAUUGCCCGUAAUUUCUAUGGUCAUAUUUGGCUAGGAGGGUGGCAAACUAUGCCACACUGAAUUGCAGUGUGGAAGUUGCAUAAACCUUGCAGCCAAAUAAAUCCAUUCUUUCACUGUCCCUGUCAGGAGUAGUAGACCGGAAAUGCUGCUGCUUGUUUCUUUGGUUUGCCGCUUCCACUACCAGUGAGUUUGGUGCUGGAUGUGUGAAAAGAAACGCUGAGCCCUUGGAGGGAACAUAGUAUUGCCGAUCUGCCCUCUUGCAGGUCGGGGGUAUAGUGGCUGGAGUUUGCCAGAUAUUCUUGGCCGGGUCCAUGACAGCUCCAUUGAUUGGGAGGGCAAUCUUGGAGGAGGCCGCAGGUUGCAAGAUGUCUGUCACUUCAUGUUGAGUCUCUGACACCUCCUCCAUAGUGAUCUUGAGUUCACUAGCCACCCUUUUAAAUAGGUCUUAAGAAAGGGUAAAAGAAAAUAAAACUUGUCUGACUAAAAUACUAUACUAACUGUACUAACAAAUGAAGUAUGCGAAAGCUAAAAAAUGUUGAGCAGGACUGCUGAGCUCCAUCUCAGGCCGGGGCAGUAGAGAAGGAACUGAGGAGUCACAGCCAUGCACGUGCUGUUAAGGCACCAGCAGCGCGUGCACAGCCUGUGCGGGUACUGCUGUACAAAUCUGAGCGAAGAUGUGGGGACGCACCAGCACCUGGGAGUGGAGCACCCACAGGGACAUCUCUCGAAGAAGAAUCCAGGAUUCAUGACUCUUGACUAAAGUUGGUUGA